rnacentral:lncRNA from 1 species
GCCGGCGGGCGGGGCGGGGCUCAGGGCUCCGCACUGCCAGGCGGUCGCUGGUGCAGCUGCCCGGCCGGGGACAUGGAGCGGCCGCGGCGCCCUACGCCCCCCGGGGCCGGAGCGGCGAGGGCGGGGACCGCGUAGCGCGCAGCAUGGAGCAGGGGCCGAGGGCAUCGGGCUCUGGAAAAAGUGAGCCAGGGGCACCCAGUCAGCCUGGACGUCACAUGCCAACCUCCGCCUUCCGACCCAGCCCUUUUUCCACUGGAAGGGACCUGAGCCUGGUGCAGACUGGCCUUGGACCCUGGGAGCUACGGGGCAGAGGGGAGCAAGCCCAAGGACCGGGUGGAAGAUGAGCAGGAGGAACCAGGAUAGAUGGUUACAGCUGGGUAGCAGGAAGGACUUACAGACGUGGGGGAUGCGCUGGCUCCAAGUGACCUGGAGGGAAAGGGCUGGGGCUGGAAGGGAGUCAUUGACGGUCUCCCAUAAUUACACAAGUGAACGGGACUUUUUAAAAAUAAAGUAGAGGACUUAAAAACCCAUCAGAGGGGCCUGGGAUUUAGCUCAGUGGCACUGUGCCUGGCUGGAAAGUGCAAGAUCCUGAGUUCCAUCCCUGUUACUGAAAAACAACAACAAACAAAACAAAACAAAAAAACCCCAUCACAGCUGGACAUAGUGGUGGGAGCACUCUGGGAGGCUGAGGCAGGAGGAUUGCAAGUUCAAGUCUAGCCUGGGCAACCUAGUGACUUAACUAGACUGUCUCAAAAUAAAAAAUAAAAAAGGGCUGAGGAUGUAGCUCAUUGCGAAGGCCCCAGCUUCAGUCCCCACUAUGGGGCAUAGAACCACC